CUCCAGCUAAGGACAUGUUUAACUAGCCAGCAACGUUACGUUCGCGAUCGUCGUGGAUCAAAUUUAAUCAGGGUGUCAAAGGCUUGCUGACUACACGGAAGGAGUGAAAGAAAACGUUGAGUCUACCACCCAGGUGCUCAAACACAAUUGUGAGAUGAAUAAACAUGGUGAAGGCUUCCACAAGCUCGGGGUUUACUAUGUCCAAGGGAGGGGAAAUUGCAGAUAAUCUGAAGAUGGCCUACUGCUUCAUGACGGCCUACAGCAGUGGUGGUAAGAAGUCUGUGGACGCAUGUCAAAACGUGGGUCUCCUCACCGACAUUGGUUGAGCCAUGAAGGCCGGCCCUGACUCAGGGGGCAAAAGGUUGAAGGAUUCACUAAUGUGUGUGUUUUAGGCGGGAAUUGAAAAAAAAGGGUCCAAUCCUUUGUGUGUGGAUGAUUUAUAUGGGGCUCUGUAAAAUAUAACAUGUUUUUUCUCUAUAGGGGACCAAUUUAAUAUUUUUGCAUCCAAUGAGAUUGUUCCUCUCGACAUGGAGAAAGGAGAGAUUCUCAGUCCAACACAUCUAUCUGCCUGAACAUUGACAACAACUUGACUUGAUUAAAAUGAG